AGAGUUUGAUCAUGGCUCAGGACGAACGCUGGCGGCGUGCUUAACACAUGCAAGUCGAGCGAUGAAGCCCAGCUUGCUGGGUGGAUUAGUGGCGAACGGGUGAGUAACACGUGAGUAACCUGCCCUUGACUUCGGGAUAACUCCGGGAAACCGGGGCUAAUACCGGAUAUGAGCUACCUUCGCAUGGGGGUGGUUGGAAAGUUUUUCGGUCAGGGAUGGGCUCGCGGCCUAUCAGCUUGUUGGUGGGGUGAUGGCCUACCAAGGCGACGACGGGUAGCCGGCCUGAGAGGGCGACCGGCCACACUGGGACUGAGACACGGCCCAGACUCCUACGGGAGGCAGCAGUGGGGAAUAUUGCACAAUGGGCGCAAGCCUGAUGCAGCGACGCCGCGUGAGGGAUGAAGGCCUUCGGGUUGUAAACCUCUUUCAGCAGGGAAGAAGCGCAAGUGACGGUACCUGCAGAAGAAGCGCCGGCUAACUACGUGCCAGCAGCCGCGGUAAUACGUAGGGCGCAAGCGUUGUCCGGAAUUAUUGGGCGUAAAGAGCUCGUAGGCGGUCUGUCGCGUCUGGUGUGAAAACUCGAGGCUCAACCUCGAGCUUGCAUCGGGUACGGGCAGACUAGAGUGCGGUAGGGGAGACUGGAAUUCCUGGUGUAGCGGUGGAAUGCGCAGAUAUCAGGAGGAACACCGAUGGCGAAGGCAGGUCUCUGGGCCGCAACUGACGCUGAGGAGCGAAAGCAUGGGGAGCGAACAGGAUUAGAUACCCUGGUAGUCCAUGCCGUAAACGUUGGGCACUAGGUGUGGGGCUCAUUCCACGAGUUCCGUGCCGCAGCAAACGCAUUAAGUGCCCCGCCUGGGGAGUACGGCCGCAAGGCUAAAACUCAAAGGAAUUGACGG
rnacentral:rRNA from 1 species